AUUGAACGCUGGCGGCAUGCCUUACACAUGCAAGUCGAACGGCAGCACGGGAGCAAUCCUGGUGGCGAGUGGCGAACGGGUGAGUAAUAUAUCGGAACGUGCCCAGUCGUGGGGGAUAACGUAGCGAAAGCUACGCUAAUACCGCAUACGAUCUAUGGAUGAAAGCGGGGGAUCGCAAGACCUCGCGCGAUUGGAGCGGCCGAUAUCAGAUUAGGUAGUUGGUGGGGUAAAGGCUCACCAAGCCGACGAUCUGUAGCUGGUCUGAGAGGACGACCAGCCACACUGGGACUGAGACACGGCCCAGACUCCUACGGGAGGCAGCAGUGGGGAAUUUUGGACAAUGGGCGCAAGCCUGAUCCAGCAAUGCCGCAUGCAGGAUGAAGGCCUUCGGGUUGUAAACUGCUUUUGUACGGAGCGAAAAGGCUCUCUCUAAUACAGGGGGCUCAUGACGGUACCGUAAGAAUAAGCACCGGCUAACUACGUGCCAGCCGCCGCCGUAA
rnacentral:rRNA from 1 species